UACGUAGGGGGCAAGCGUUGUCCGGAUUUAUUGGGCGUAAAGAGCGUGUAGGCGGCCAGACAGGUCUGCUGUGAAAACUCGAGGCUCAACCUCGAGACGCCGGUGGAAACUGUCUGGCUAGAGUCCGGAAGAGGAGAGUGGAAUUCCUGGUGUAGCGGUGAAAUGCGCAGAUAUCAGGAAGAACACCAGUGGCUAAGGCGGCUCUCUAGUACGGUACUGACGCUGAGACGCGAAAGCGUGGGGAGCGAACAGG
rnacentral:rRNA from 1 species